GGAUACUGGCAGGUUGGGAUGUGGGCAUUAUUUGUUGCAAGGUUAGAUCAAAUUGCACUCGUCCCGGCCUGCUGGAUCUAGU